GACGCAGCACCUUUCUCUCUCUCUCUCUCAAAACGAAAUUCCCAACUCCCCAUCACAGCCCCAUCACAACCCUCACUCUCUCUCUCCUCAAACUUCACUUCCAGGACCAGAUUCCCUUCCCAAACCCUCACUCCCAGGACCAGACCCUCUCCCAAAAUCCUCUCCCACCUCUCCCCAGAGCUCAGCCUCUCCCACCAAUCGCCGCCCGCCUCUCCACCACGAACCCCAGUCGUGCCUCCGCCUCCUCCUCCUCCCCGCCGCCAUUAACGACUGGAUUUCGUCAAUCCCUCUUUGAACUCAGGUAAGGAUCACGCCCCAAUUUCAGUUCGAUGAACUGAUUUUUUUUUGAGCCUCGAUGUUUAAGUAGCCUUCAGUACUGGAAUCACAUCACAUUUUGGGUCUCAAGCAAGCUACUAGAUUUCUUCAGGGCCAUGGAUCCUAAACAUUUUCAGAGGAUUUAUCCUCUUAUUGCAAUGGUAAAUGUUCUGAUUUUACUGAGCAUGAAAGUUAAUGGGUACCUUGUUCCUAAGACUUUCCUUUCAAAUGCCGAAGCUAAAGGAGCAGUUUGUUUAGAUGGAAGCCCCCCGGUUUAAAAAUUAUCAGUAUCGUUCUGGGACUAAAAAUUAAAAGCAAAGUUAUAGACACUCCAUCAGACAUAUAAAUAGUCGUAUGAACUUGGUUGUGCAGUUUGUCAAAUCCAAUCUUUCACACUCUCAGCAAAGUUAUAGAUUCCUUGUGAUCGAUUCUAUGCCAAUGAACUUCAAUUAUGACUAACGAGAAAGCUGUUUGAUCCCGCCAGAAAAGGGUAGCUUGAUUGUGCAUGCUGACAAUCUUAUUACUUGUCGAAGGCUUCUCUAAUGAUGUGAAGGACUUCAUAUUGUGUAACUAUCAUUCGAAGGUCCUCGUUUAUGAGGGUAGAAAUGCACUAAAUAUCUUGCAGAUACAUUUGCUAUUGCAUCGUCAAGAUAAUAGCAUCUAUAUAUUAUGAGCAAGAGGGUAAUGAGUCAUCAAGUGAAGAUGGGGAUGAUAUAAGCCUAAAUAUUGGCUUUCUUGAUCCGUAGUUGAAGAUUAAGUGUUCGAAGAAUUGUGUGAAUCCUUUUGAAUGAACCCAAUUGUAUGUCUUUAGUUUAAUAUUGACUUUUGAAUGAAAGAUUAUUGUAUUGUUUGGGCAUUA